ACAGAGGUAGACAAUUGUUAUACUUAAACUAAUAAAACUUCAAUUCAAAACGGUGAACAAUUUGAAAUGCACAGGGCAUAAACGAAAUCUCAAAGUGCGUGACACAUUGAAACAUUGAAAUGCAAUAAGUAAAUGACAACAAGCAUUGCUAGAAUAAAAGAAGCUAUACUUUACCUUGUAAUUGAAAUGCAAAUUCAACACGGACACCUAAAAUAAAUAAAAAAAAAAACAUGAAUAGUAAGUAAGCUGCCUCCUUAAUUGUGUGCUCCAAACCACGUGGAAUAACCCUUCACCCAUAAC
rnacentral:lncRNA from 1 species